UUUCCUCUAUUUCUCACCUAAACACCAAUCAUUCAAUCUCUAUUUCUCACCUAAACACCCAUCAUCCAAACGAACCACUGUUAAAUACUAAAAAAAAAAAAAAAAAAAACAGUCCAAAAAAGAAAUCAGUAGCCCGCCCCUUCGUUCUUUUUUGGUGUGAGUUUGAUUUUCAUUUUAAAAAAAAAACUUUUGAGGACUAUUGUUUGGGAUUGUCGGCAUCAGAUUCGCCGUAGAUCUGGUUUAGCUUGGGUGUUUUCGUCGAGUUCCGGUUCAAAGUUCCGUUUAAGGCCUGCAUUUCACUAUGCAGAUUUACAAGAUGACGGAUCAGCAUGUUAGGACUCAGCACGUAUCAUCUUUUGGUGAGCCGCGUUCUAUUCGGGGUUUUAUCUUUACUUAUGUUUAUUUCAGUCUUGCAGUUAAGGUAUGCCGGGGGUCUUGUCCCGGUAAACAGUUUAGUAGUCAGAUUCAUGUCAGAGGUUUCAUAGACUAGUCAGUUAUGUUAUGUUAGAUAUUCAGAGUCGUCUACCUAUGUUGGCUCAUUAUUAUUAUGUUUAUUCAUACUAUUCCGCAUUAUGACAUUAUGAUAUUUUCAUAUUUAUGAUUUUUGAUCC